GUCAAAGGGAAGGAAUGACAAUUACUGAAUAAACCAACCAAUGUUAUUAAGAUAUAUAACAUCAGUUAUUGGAGCCUAAUUUUUCUUAAGCAAUGUUUUUGUCAUUGAUGUCUAAAGCACAUCCUGAUGUGCACAAUACUAGAAUAAUAAUAUAAUAAAUUUCCAAGUUAUAAAUUACCAAAAGAUAUAUUGCUUCAAUGUAGUUUCUACUAAAAUCAAAACCAACUAAUAUCGCUUUUACAUGAAGUUUCAAUGUAGCUGAAAGUCUCAAGUCACACUUCAUUAAUUUCAUCCUCAAAAUAAGUUGCAUUGUGUGUCUUUGCAGCCCCCUGAAAAGUGCAACACAAGAUAAAAUCACAAUUUAAACAAAUGAGAAUCGAUGUACAAGAACCAAAUACAGGAGGCUCUCCUAUUAAAAUAUUCCUUAUAGGAACAAAUGGAUAAUGAUCUGACCUUUGUCGCACAGCAUGUUGCAACUUAGAACGGAGAGAUCAAGCUAAACAUAGAGUUGUGCCUCCGAUAACAAACUAGAAACUCCUGGUUUGCUUCCUAUCCCACCUGAGCAACAUAGAAAAGUGUUUAUCAUGACUAGAUUACCGAUUUUUCACAAAAAUUAUCUUGAAUAAUUAAGAGUAUCACACCUUAGCAAUAAAAUUUAACAUAGAAGGGCACAGUUCUUGAAGUCUAUAGUCCAACAAGAAGGGCAUAGUUCUGCAUAAACAAAGUAGAUAAUUUAACUUGCAGUAUAAAUAUUACAAGUUAGUAAAAUGAAUAAAGAAGGCAAAUAUAUAAUCUCUAAUUGUCUGAUAGACUCAUUUGUAUUAGUAUAAAUAUGGUCAUUUAGUUCUUACACUAAUUUCAAGUGCAAUAUCCUAACAUCUCCUAUUAAUACAACAUAAUUGUCAUCUUCAAAACAUCAAAAUCUGUUUUGCAUCUCUCUGUCUAUACAUACUACAACAGAAUAUUCAAGCACAAAGGAAGUAGCAGGGAAGGACAACCAUGGAGUUGUGAGGAUUAAGCUAAAGAAACACAUAUGUGUAUCUGCAUACAUGGUUGCCUCCUAGUUUCCAUUCCCUAUUUUGUUACUGAAUGUCUAUGACAAGUUGAAAAAAUGCUAAUUCAGAGAUAAUAAUUACAAAAGAAUCAAAACCCAAAGCUACAAACUCCAAUUAAAAACUACUUGAACUCCAAGAUCCAAUUCCGAUCCAGACGCACUUGACCCACUUAUAUCCAUUAAACCCUAUCGAAAAAAAUGAUCCACCUGAGAAAACUAACAAAAUAAUCCAAAAUAAAAAGAAUGGAUUUAUUGAAUUCUUAGACACACAUAUUUGACCCAGAGAAACAAAGUUAUUCAGUUUUAGGUACACCAAAAAAACUACCUGUAUAUAACUCUCUUUGCUUUCUGAAACUUAAACAAGAAGAUCUGCAUAUCUACAAAAAUAAAUAAAAAUAUUUCUAAUUUGUGUUGGCAUGUAUAUCAUCAAGAAAUACUAUCAAUAGAUAUAAUUUUAUAACUUGAAUUAUAAACUACAAUCGAAACAAUUAAAGAAACUAAAUCAAUUGAAGAAACUAAGAAUAUACACCUUCAAGAUGGAGACCGAGAAAUGAAGCUGUGACCGGAAACCCCAAACCCCAAUUGAACAAAUUGAAAACCAGAAAUUCAAUCGAACCAAUCGAGCUGCGAAUUGAAGCUGCCUUUCUUACUUCGGAGGUGUAUUUCUCCAAGAUGGGUCUUCAAUUAAAAUGGAGUCUUUAAAAGCGGCUGCUUUUACUCCUUCGAUUCGAUCGACGUACGGUGAGAUAGUGAGAUAGAGAGAGAUUAAAGAGGGAGAUGGUUAGAGAUGGAGAGAUGAAAGAGGGAUAUGGUGGGAGGUAGGGCAGCGGGGAGAGAGAGUUAGAGAGAUCAUCGAGAGAGGGGAGGCAGAGUGAGAGAAUGCCAGAGAGAAAUAGAAAAGGGG
rnacentral:lncRNA from 1 species